rnacentral:rRNA from 1 species
AAUAUUGCACAAUGGGGGAAACCCUGACGCAGCGACGCCGCGUUAGCGAAGAAGGCCUUAGGGUCGCAAAGCUCUUUCCUAAGGGAAGAAACGGACGGUACCUCAGGAGGACGCUCCGCCUAACAACGUGCCAUCAGCCGCGGUAAUACGUAGGGGGCGAGCGUUAACCGGAAUGAUUGGGCGUAAAGGGUGCGUAGGCGCCCUUUUAAGUCAGAUGUGAAAGGCUACGGCUUAACCGUAGUUAGCAUUUGAAACUAAAAGGCUUGAGUGCAGGAGAGGAGAGUGGAAUUCCUAGUGUAGCGGUGAAAUGCGUAGAUAUUAGGAGGAACACCAGUGGCGAAGGCGACUCUCUGGAUUGCACCUGACGCUGAGGCACGAAAGCGUGGGGAGCGAACA